AGCGAACGUUAGCGGCGGGCUUAACACAUGCAAGUCGAGCGAGAAAAGGGCUUCGGCCCUGAGUACAGCGGCAGACGGGUGAGUAAUACGUAGGUAACCUUCCGUUUUGUGGGGGACAACGGUCCGAAAGGACCGCUAAUACCGCAUACGUCUCCUGGGACCGUCGGUUCCGGGAGGGAAAGCCUCGCAAGGGGCGCAGAAUGAGGGGCCUAUGUCGCAUCAGCUAGUUGGUGGGGUAAUGGCCUACCAAGGCGAAGACGCGUAGCUGGUCUGAGAGGAUGAUCAGCCACACUGGGACUGAGACACGGCCCAGACUCCUACGGGAGGCAGCAGUGGGGAAUAUUGGACAAUGGGCGCAAGCCUGAUCCAGCCACGCCGCGUGAGUGAUGAAGGCCU
rnacentral:rRNA from 1 species